CCUACGGGUGGCAGCAGUGGGGAAUCUUGCGCAAUGGGCGAAAGCCUGACGCAGCCAUGCCGCGUGAAUGAUGAAGGCCUUAGGAUUGUAAAAUUCUUUCACCGGGGACGAUAAUGACGGUACCCGGAGAAGAAGCCCUGGCUAACUUCGUGCCAGCAGCCGCGGUUAUACGAAGGGGGUUAGCGUUGCUCGGAAUUACUGGGGGUAGAGUACGCGUAGGCGGACAUUUAAGUCAGGGGUGAAAUCCCAGAGCUCAGCUCUGGAACUGCAUUUGAUACUGGGUGUCUUGAGUGUAAGAGAGGUAUGUGGAACUCCGAGUGUAGAGGUGAAAUUCGUAGAUAUUCGGAAGAACACCGGUGGCGAAGGCGACAUACUGGCUCAUUACUGACGCUGAGGCGCGAAAGCUUGGGGAGCAAACAGGAUUAGAUACCCGAGUAGUC
rnacentral:rRNA from 1 species